UGGGAACAUAUUGGUUUUACUCUGUUUCUUAUUAUUAUUAAGGUCUUCCGUUACCAACGGAAGACCUUAUAGUGAUUCUACUGUUUAUUAUUAUUUUUUUUUUCCCUUUCGUCUCCGAGACCGUUGGAUGGAUUUUCCUGAAACUUUCACAGGUUAUAGAGAACGAUGGUACCUCGAGGCAUAUUUUUCAUUUUUUCAAAAUUCACUUCCGGUCGCAAGAUAUGUCCAAUUUUCGUCUUUUUACAGAUAUUUUGUCCAGCGUUUUUCUCAGAAACGGUAAAAGAUAGAGUCACCAAAUUUUCAGAGUUAAUAGAUCUCACUUUGUAGGCGUGCAGUAGGGGGUUAAGAAUGUCGGCCGUCACUUCUGGUCGUCACCGGAAGUGAUUAAAGGAAACAUGAAUUUCAAACUUUUUUCUUUCAAAUUGAAACCUAAUUCGGUUUACUAUAUCUCGUUCUAAUUCUCAAAAAAUGUUGACCCCACCGGAAGUUGAAUCUUCAACUUCCGGUUUUAUCAAAGAAAGCCUAUUCAUUCUCUCAUUUUUCAGUGCCAUAAAUCUCGGUCAUGAAACUAGUUAAUGACUUGAGUUUUAAAUAUAUAAUAGUCACUAUAAAUGUCUAGAGUAACGUCAAAUAUUUUUGUAAAAUUUACUUCCGGUCGGCAAAUACGGCUUAUGAGCUGUUUUCGUUGUCCAGCGUUUUUCUCAGAAACGGUAAAAGAUAGAGUCACCAAAUUUUCAGAGUUAAUAUAUCUCACUUUGUAGGCGUGCAGUAAUGGGUUAAAUAUGUCGACCGUCACUUCCGGUCGUCACCGGAAGUGAUUAAAUGAAUCAUAUAUUUCAAACUUUUUUCUUUCAAACUGAAACCUAUAUCGGUUUACUAGGUCUGGUUCUAAUUCUCAAAAAAAUGUUGACCCCACCGGAAGUUGAAACUCCAACUUCCGGUUAUAUCAAAGAAAGCCUAUUCAUUCUCUCAUUUUUAAGUGCCAUAAAUCUCGGUCAUAAAACAAGUUAAUGAUUUGAAUUUUACAUAUGUUAUAGACACUAUAAAUGUCUAGAGUAAAUUUAAAUAUUUUUAAAAAAAUUCACUUCCGGUCGUGAGAUAUAGGGUGGACAUAUUCAAACCUUGUUUUUUCAG